GAGAGCACCUCAACAUUUCAGUAGAAAAGAAACAAACAGGGAAACACAACUCAAAUCCAGUUAAACCUCUAAACCCGGCCAGAUAAAGCUACACAGCUAGCAGGCCUCAGUCCUGCCUGUGAAGCUCCAUCUGCGAAACGUUUCCUUCACCUGUUGGAUUUGUGACGUCACUGGAGGUCAUUUCUUCUGCUUCAUCCCUCCGACCUGACUCUUCUUCAAAAGGCCUCCUCUCUCUUUUUCCUCGGAAACUCUCUACAGCAGCUGCAGCCAUUUUCUGAUUCAUUUACAAGCAUUUACAACUUCCUUUCAAAAUAAAGCACAUUUUGUGUCAGAGAAGGUCCUACUGGUGCAGGAGAUUUACAGGAAUUAAAGAUGCAAUCAAAAUAAAAUUUAAAAAAAAUGCGCAUCCAAUUAUUUACUUCAAGAACUGUACCACUGAACAGUAACGAAACAAAGUUGUACAGCAGAAGAUCCAAAUGUGUGUUGCAGCGUUUUCUAACAAUAAACCACUGACAACAGAUCAUUUUGAUUGAAUCCAAACACAAAUUACCUUGGUUUAAUCAAAUUGUUUAUAUUUUUUCUUUAAAAGCAAAUGAAUGGAAGAAGGAGCCGCAUAUUGUUCCAGAGGCUCAGGUUGCAGAUGUAAACCAUGUGAAAACAAUGCAACUGUACCUUUAGUGUUGUUUUUAGUGCUUUUGUUGACAUUUUCAAUGUUAAUGGAUGAUUGUGUGAUUUCUAUGUAAUCUGGCUUGACACAAAAACUGUCAUGGUGCCUCUGUCAGCUACUCUCCCCCGCCUGCUCUGUUCUGGACGCGACCAGCUGCCUCCACUUACCUCAUCUUCGCUGUUGCCUUCAUAAGGAGCACCUGGAUUGUCAUUCGACGCCAGUUUGUUGUUCCUCCCACGGAAGAAUCACCUUUGGCCCUCACCUGGUCGCUGUCCUCUGGUCUGUCGCUGUCUCGCCCCUGGAAUCCUGCUGCCGCUCUCCUCCAGCCAGCCGCCGCGCCUCCUCUGGAAAAAGCCAUUACUCACCCUCUGCUGUAUUAAAUCAACUAAACUUA